UGGGGAAUUUUGGACAAUGGGGGAAACCCUGAUCCAGCCAUGCCGCGUGAGUGAAGAAGGCCUUCGGGUUGUAAAGCUCUUUCGGCUGGGAAGAAAUCGCACAGGCUAACUCCGUGCCAGCAGCCGCGGUAAUACGGAGGGUGCAAGCGUUAAUCGGAAUUACUGGGCGUAAAGCGCACGCAGGCGGUUUGUUAAGUCAGAUGUGAAAUCCCCGGGCUCAACCUGGGAACUGCAUUUGAAACUGGCAAGCUUGAGUCUCGUAGAGGGGGGUAGAACUCCACGUGUAGCAGUGAAAUGCGUAGAGAUGUGGAGGAAUACCGAUGGCGAAGGCAGCCCCCUGGGUCGAUACUGACGCUCAUGCACGAAAGCGUGGGGAGCAAACAGGAUUAGAAACCCCGGU
rnacentral:rRNA from 1 species